CCAGCUGCUCCGCAAACACAGCAGAAAGCACGUCAGUCCCAAGCUUGUGCUGAUUUUUAUGGGCAAUGUCUCUGCUGCCAAGGUUUCUCAGCGCACAGCUCAGCUUCCUGAUAGCUUUGAGGAGACUCUUCUGGUCGGCGCGAACUUCCAGACCUGACUUCCUCGUCGCUGAAAGAACACAGAAGGGGCAGCAGGUGCACGCACGCCUCGCACAGCAGAAGGAUGGGGAAAAGAAAGAAAAAAAGAGCGACAUUUUCUCUCUCAGACCCGUAACCAUAAGAGCAGUGCCUGAAUUCAAAGAUCCCUCGCAAGACAGAUGCACAUUACGGAUUCCAGAACAGCUGGCCAGAAAGAGUGAUCAACUGACAGAAGUGUGAGGAAAAGUGCACACAAUCCAUGUGGUGCCUCAGGAGUUCAGCGUAUAACUUCUGUGAAGACCUGAGGCACUCUUCAGUCCCUCAGUUUCUCCGUUUGACUAGCCGCCAUCUAUUCCUGCCGCUGUAGCAGCAGGAUGGGGUAUCAGGAGGCUGAAGGCACAGGAACUGAGGAAAGCGUGACUCGCUGUCUGUACUGAAUGUCUUUCUGUAUUCGAUACUCAGCCUUCUGGGCUCUGUGCAGUGUGGACAGAAGAUGAAAAGAGCUGCAUUGGAAAACAGUUGGAGAAAAAGAUGGAUAGAAAAAGCCAGGAGCAAGAACACUCAAAGGAGGAUGGAGCUCCUAACACUUCAUUGUUUUCUAUUGGCAAAUCAUCCCCAGUGACUUGAAGAUCUCUCUUCUCAAAGGUAAUAGGUAAUUUAAAGCCUUUCAUGUCUAUGUAUAGUCAAGAGUUGCUUUUUUCUGUUUGCAUUUAUCAAUAUUAAAUGUUAACAGUCCUUAUAUUGCCCACAAUGCAAUAUUGUGAAAUCCUUUUGGAACUCUUUAUAAACAAGUUUUGACUAUCUGAAGUUAUUUCAUAUCCUCGCUAGCUUUGUCAUCUGAUCUCCUUUUUCCAAAAAUGUGUAUGCUCAACAGCACAGAUUCCAUCCUGUUAACUUCCAACUCGACAUUUAUUCCAGUCCUAUCUUUAUUACCUUUUAAAUAGCUAUUAAUCCAUGAGGAGAUUGUCCUUUUCAUUCUGUGAUUAUUUAAUUCCUAUAGAUGAGAAACCUGGCCCAAAACAUCCUGGAAAUACAAAUGUACUUUCUUGACAGAAUCACCUUUAUCCCAUCUUCUUCAGAAACCACUAAUAGAUUUGCAAUGUGUAACUUUUUUACAAUGGCUGUAUUUUCCCUCAUUAUAUCACAGCUGUCAGGGUGUCUAUUCAUUCCAUCUUUUGUUAUACAGUUUCUACCAAUAGUUUCUACCAAUUUGCACAUGGGAGUGCUGUGCUGGUCUGUAAUUAUCUGGAUCUUUCCUGGUCAAUAUGGUUCUGUAUGAUGAGUUUUACCGUUCAGUGGAAGCUUUUGUUUUACAAUUUAAACGGUAGAAGACAGUUCACUGGAGAACGUAGAGAAGUUGCAAAGACAGUCACUUAAUUUAGGAAAUGCAGGAAUGAAGGUUGCCUGUGUAGCAUCCAAGCACAAUUUAGCUAUAUUGUAAGAUGCCUAGAAUGCUCUCAUCAAGAAAAAGGUUGGUCUGCCACCAAAAAUCCCUUCUAUCUUUUCACAGUUGUGUUAAACUCUAGCCUUGCAAACAGCAAUUUUGGAAGAGAACAAAAAAGGUUGGAAGAAGCAGUGGGGAGAAAAAAGCAAGAAUUUCAUUCUAUGGUUAAGGAGAUAACAAUAUGAAAGUGCCCACAAGGUGUCUUACUUGCAUGCAUGAAACUUAACCAAAGAUGACCUAAAAGUUACUACCAUGUUCUUUUUCCUUUAGGAUGAAGGGGAACAUUUUUGUUUUCAAAAUUCUGAUUCUUUUUGACACUAGAAACUCAGGCAUAGGGACCAUUGUGGCCUACAGAUGAGCUGCAGGUCUAGAAGCAUUAAAAUAUUGCAAGUAAUAAAGCUGAACAACUGAAAGAGGAAGUGGUUGGGUAUUUUUUUCUAGAUGACAUCAAUACAUUUGCAUAGGGGUAAAGUCCUAGUAUUGAUGCCCUUCACCAUUACCAAAAGAGAAUGUUACCUAGUCAUUUAUUCUCCUUCAGAGCUCAUAGAGUAAUGAUUUUGAAUGUUUUCAAAUAAUAGAGAAUUAGAAUCUAAUGAUACAAAUUUAAAGAUAACAGAAGUGAGCAGAGGAUUACAUAUACUCCAUAGCCUGUGACUCAUUCUACCAGCAUGAGGCUUUUAUUGCCUAGACAUGAGAUUAUUUUGCAACCUGGUUUCUUUUUUGGCUGCUGAGGGGGACUUAAUAAAACCAGUAUUAACACGCAAUGCACACAUAAUGUUUCCACUUAUUGGUUUUCCACUUAAUAGUUAAUUUUUUCCACUUAAUAGUUCAGUGAAAAGAAGAUUUAUAUUUGAUCUGUUUGUGAAUGCUACAACUCUUUAUUCAGGAACAUUUUGAGAUGUAGCAGAGUCUAUAUGUAAUAGAGCUUGAAACUAAAAACCUGGAAGUGCAUUUUGUGAUUUAUUAAAGUGAGAAAUUGCAAAAAAUUGAAGUUUAGUAAGAGUUACUCAUAACUGAUAUGAAAAAGGUAAAGACGCAUGGAAAUCGUUCAGGAUCCAGGCGAUAGCUAUUGGACAACUGCAGAUUUCAGUUCAACUACACUGAAGGAAAUCAGAAGAUGGAUUUCAUAGAGAAAACAGAAGUUGUCCAGGUGUGUUGAAAUAACUUUUUACAUUAAAAACAGUUUACAUUUAAAUUAUGAUGUUUAUAUUCUUAAAGGAUUUUCAGUAUGUUCUUGUAAUGGUGACAUUCCUUUAAAAUUCCAGUUUUAAGAUUAUUAGGAACCAUCAGUGUAUUCAGCGCAAUUAUUUUUACUCAUAUUAAGUGAAAACAGAGCACAGAGAUAAUUUAAUUAUCACAACUUUUCAGCUUCUUUGCACUGUACUUUCACGGGCAGUAUUGUUUUUCUUCUAAUAUCAUCCCAGCCUUCACAGAGGAAGUACCUUAGAAUUUGUUCUCUUCUACCAUCUAGAGGGGAAACUGUACAGCACCUAGAAAGCUCAUUUUAACUUUGCCAGAAAGUUAGACAGUGAAACAGUUCCAAAUGCUUAUAUUAUUUUUAAUUAAAAAAAGAAAUGUAAUGAAUAGAGAAAAUUAUAUUUGUAGUAUCUGCAUGAGAGUUAGUCAAUUCCUAGUGUAAAUCAAGAUAUAAGGAUUUCUCUUUUUUUGGUGGUGGUGUUUUCCAGAGAUCAGUUUAACACCAAGACCAAUAGGCAGAAAAAAGAUGUUAAAACAAGUCAAGACUUAGAGUUUGCAGAAAUCUGUUCUGGUGUUUUUAAAGCUGUAAGCAUUAUACUAUAAUUUCAUAUAGAGAAGAACUUGUAUAAGCAAUUGUGUAGUUACAAAUCUCAUGAAAAAGAUUGUAUUACAUUGCAGAAAUCAUUCAGUACUGGGACAUGGAUUUAGAAAGUCAUUAUCUCUAAAGUUUUUUCCCCACUAAUGCUGUCAGAUAACAGCCAAACCUACUGUUUUGCAGUAUGUAUAACCUGAAUAAGAGAUCUAGUAACACAGUUACAGUUCAGGGUUUAAGAGGUCUAAUUGUUUGUACAAUUAUCGUAGUAGUGGAUAGUCAUGACUUUUUCAAAUAAUGUCCAAAGGAAAAAAAAAUAGGAAUGAGUAUGAUUUGAAGCUGAUGCAUGUGAUUUGGGUAUAUUAAUUAUGUAUCUUCAAGAAAUGCUGGAUUUUCUAAUCCACUAUUUGUUUGCUAGAAAUUGCCAGGUUCUAUUUUAAAUUGGUUCUGUUUGAGUGGUUUAAGUGAACACAUACUCAGCUAAAAUUCUCAUCCAGGCUCUCAUUGUCUGUUGUUUAAUUACCGAAAUGUUUUUUUCCUCUCCAGACUUGAUUAAUUUAACCUUGUUCACUUAGAAUGCUACUACAAAGAAGAGUUCCUGAACUUGCCACUUGGACCACAUCACCCAUCUCUUUGCAUAUUCUCUUGUUUUUAGCACUCUCUUGUAUCAUUCUUCCUUUCCUAAGUUACCCAUUGUCUAUCGCCUCCUAAGACAAGCUUUAGCCCUUGUGUUAACUAGGAGCGCUUGUCUGAAAAUUUAUUCUCCUGAACUUGCCCUUUUAUAAUUAGGAGUUGACCCCAAUAAACAUGCAAAAUUAAUGUACUAUCCCCAUUUUAAUUCUUCCCUAAAACUUGUUUUUUUCUUAUUGUUUCAAGAAAUAAAAAGGCUUUUCUACUGAAAUCUUGACAACAGAGAGCUGUUAUGCUGAGAGCUGUUAUGCUGAGAUCACAGCAUAUUCACUGAUUAGUGCUGUCUUAUUGUUUCCUUGGCCUCCUCUGCCAGCUGGUCUAUAUCCAGCUUUGAAUGCUGCCUCCUACUUAGAUCAUUAGCCCCUUCAGCCAGGGCCGUCUGCUUUAUUCUGUGCUUGUGUGACAUCCAGCAAAACAGGGUCUUCCUCCAUGGAUAAAGCUGCUAGGCACUGUGAUAAUAAACAUAAUAAAUGUAUUACUGCUGUGAUUAUUAUUGUGAGUAUAAUAUUUAUAGGCAUGGGGGAAAGGACUGAAUUCAAUGCCCAAUAAGCUUCACCAGAAAGAACAUGACCCAAUUAACAGUAAGACCUUUAAGUAUAUUUUCAUCACUGGCAAAGGCAGGACCCCUGCUGGCUGAUCUGUAAAACAUUGAUGAUGUUUGU